UGCAGGGUGGUCAAGUGGCAAGACGUCUGGCUCAUACCCAGAAAAUCACGGGUCCGAAUCCCGUCCCUGCUA
rnacentral:tRNA from 1 species